GUGUGGAAACACCUGUUCCCAUUCCGAAUACAGUAGUUAAGCAUACUUCAGUUGAUGAUACUGGUGGGAUUCCCGCUGGGAAAGUAAA
rnacentral:rRNA from 1 species